ACAUGUCUCACUCUGAAGCUUACAUACUUUGCCCAGAAACAGGACUUUCUUAUUUUCUUCUUGUUUUGGUGGAAUGACCCCCCCAACACAUCAACACGCAGUGUUCAGAUUAUAAACUGGCAUAAACCACUGCCAUUCCACUAAAGUUGAAAAGAAUGAUGUCUGAACCACACUCAUCUACAGUCUGUCUCCUUUAUUUUCUAUGCAGGUCUUUCAGGAGGGACUGAAGUCCUGAGGAAAAUGAGCCCGUAACAGAGGGGUGCAUCAGCACCUACAGGCUGUGAGUACUUCUCCUCCUCCUCGGUCAUGUUUACACUUUACUUACACCCAUCACUUUUAUGUGGCUUGAGACUGCCCAGAUGUUUCUGGGCUCAGUUGCUGGAAUUUUGAUUGCAGCUGACAUUCCGGUGUGCUGCAGAAUCAGGCAGCCUGCAUCCAAAAUGUGGUGAGAAGCACUACCGUGACCCGCGAUGCCGGAGGCCUCAUUGUGCUGUUGGAGGGAAAUCUGGAAGAUACACUCUUCUUCUCUUGGAGGCACCUGGAAGAGGAUAUGAUCACGGCUGAAUUGUACAAGCCUGCUUCUAACUACAUUAAAAGACACUGAGGUUUUUGUCAUGGCAGUUUGGAACCACAAUUCUUUCUAAGCUGAAAGAAGGAAAAAAAAAACACACAAAAAACCCCAACCAAACAAAAAACAAACCACCAUCAAAAAGCCCACCCUAUUUUUUUUUUUUUUCCUCUCCUGAUAAGAGACUUUAGCUGGGCAGUAUUGCCUGCUGGUUUGCUGAAGAAGCAGAGGUGCUGCCUCUGCUUUCCCCUCACCCCAUCUUGACACUUUCCAUCAGCCUGCUCAGCUGGGGCUUGGUGCUGGCACCACGGAGGCUGGCUGCUCCUCUCCUGGAUGGGGACUUCCUGACAGUGAGACACAAGAAGUGCGACUGAGGCCCCCAACCUGCCUCACCAGACAACCAGUGAAUAGUACAGCUUCUUCAGCAGCUGCACUGUGGUCUGGGCUGGAACCAAUAUUUAAGGUGCUGUGCAGAUGGAGACUACUGGACAUCCUUUGUACCUUACAGUUUGUAUUCAACAGUGACAAGACAGAAGAAGGACGGGGAAACCAGGAGAGCGUAAAAGAAAAUGGAGCCAGCUAUGUCUCAACUGGAGAAUUCUCUGUGCGUACCCUUUGA
rnacentral:lncRNA from 1 species